UGGGGAAUAUUGGACAAUGGGGGAAACCCUAAUCCAGCGACGCCGCGUGGGUGAUGAAGGCUUUCGGGUCGUAAAGCCCUGUCAGGAGGAAAGAAUGCUCCUAUGAUAAAUACUCAUAGGAAGUGACGGUACCUCCAAAGGAAGCGCCGGCUAACUCCGUGCCAGCAGCCGCGGUAAGACGGAGGGCGCAAGCGUUGUUCGGAAUUACUGGGCGUAAAGCGCGGGCAGGCGGUCUGUUAAGUCGUUUGUGAAAAUCCGGGGCUCAACCCCGGAAAUGCAUACGAUACUGGCAGGCUGGAGACUGGUAGAGGCUAGCGGAAUUCCUGGUGUAGCGGUGGAAUGCGUAGAUAUCAGGAAGAACACCUGUGGCGAAGGCGGCUAGCUGGGCCAGUUCUGACGCUCAUCCGCGAAAGCGUGGGGAGCAAACAGGAUUAGAU
rnacentral:rRNA from 1 species